UCCGGUUUAACACCGGCAGUCUCCAUAGAGUGCCCAACUAAAUGAUGGCAACUAGGGAUAAGGGUUGCGCUCGUUAAGGGACUUAACCCGACAUCUCACGAUACGAGCUGACGACAGCCAUGCAGCACCUGUCUCUCUGUGUAUUGCUACAAAACCGUAUCUCUACGGCGAUCAGAGGAUGUCAAGUCCAGGUAAGGUUCUUCGCGUUGCAUCGAAUUAAACCACAUGCUCCACCGCUUGUGCGGGCCCCCGUCAAUUCCUUUGAGUUUUAAUCUUGCGACCGUACUUCCCAGGCGGGGUACUUAAUGCGUUAGCGUCGACACUGGAGGGGUCAAUUCCCCCAACAUCUAGUACCCAUCGUUUACAGCGUGGACUAC
rnacentral:misc_RNA from 1 species